CCUUCCAAGAAAAGCUUCUAGGGUUAAUUUAAUAAGUGCCCGUACCGAUAACCGACACAGGUAGGCGAGGAGAGAAUCCUAAGAUGAGCGAGAGAACUCUUGUUAAGGAACUCGGCAAAAUGACCCCGUAACUUCGGGAGAAGGGGUGCUUGUGAAAGCAAGCCGCAGUGAAUAGUCCCAGGCGACUGUUUAUCAAAAACACAGGUCUCUGCUAAACCGCAAGGUGAUGUAUAGGGGCUGACGCCUGCCCGGUGCUGGAAGGUUAAGAGGAGAGGUUAGCGCAAGCGAAGCUUUGAAUUGAAGCCCCAGUAAACGGCGGCCGUAACGAUAACGGUCCUAAGGUAGCGAAAUUCCUUGUCGGGUAAGUUCCGACCCGCACGAAAGGCGUAACGAUCUGGGCGCUGUCUCAACAAGAGACUCGGUGAAAUCAUAGUACCUGUGAAGAUGCAGGUUACCCGCGACAGGACGGAAAGACCCCGUGGAGCUUUACUGUAGCUUGAUAUUGAGCACUGGUGGCACAUGUACAGGAUAGGUAGGAGACGAAGAAACCAGGACGCCAGUCUUGGUGGAGUCGCUGUUGGGAUACUACCCUUGUGUCACUGGGGUUCUAACCCGUGGCCCUUAUCGGGUCAGGGAACAGUGUCAGGUGGGCAGUUUGACUGGGGCGGUCGCCUCCCAAAGAGUAACGGAGGCGCCCAAAGGUUCCCUCAGAAUGGUUGGAAAUCAUUCGAAGAGUGUAAAGGCAGAAGGGAGCUUGACUGCGAGACCUACAAGUCGAGCAGGGACGAAAGUCGGGCUUAGUGAUCCGGCGGUACCGAAUGGAAGGGCCGUCGCUCAACGGAUAAAAGCUACCCCGGGGAUAACAGGCUGAUCUCCCCCAAGAGUUCACAUCGACGGGGAGGUUUGGCACCUCGAUGUCGGCUCAUCGCAUCCUGGGGCUGUAGUCGGUCCCAAGGGUUGGGCUGUUCGCCCAUUAAAGCGGUACGCGAGCUGGGUUCAGAACGUCGUGAGACAGUUCGGUCCCUAUCCGUCGUGGGCGUAGGAAAUUUGAGAGGAGCUGUCCUUAGUACGAGAGGACCGGGAUGGACACACCGCUGGUGUACCAGUUGUUCUGCCAGGAGCAUAGCUGGGUAGCUACGUGUGGACGGGAUAAACGCUGAAAGCAUCUAAGCGUGAAGCCCCCCUCAAGAUGAGAUUUCCCAUUCGAAAGAGGUAAGAUCCCUUGAAGACGACGAGGUUGAUAGGUCAGGAGUGGAAGUGUGGUGACACAUGGAGCGGACUGAUACUAAUCGAUCGAGGACUUAACC
rnacentral:rRNA from 1 species